UAUCUGCCGUGGGCGCUGGAGAAUUGAGGGGGGCUGCUCCUAGUACGAGAGGACCGGAGUGGACGCAUCACUGGUGUUCGGGUUGUCAUGCCAAUGGCACUGCCCGGUAGCUAAAUGCGGAAGAGAUAAGUGCUGAAAGCAUCUAAGCACGAAACUUGCCCCGAGAUGAGUUCUCCCUGAGACUUUAAGUCUCCUGAAGGAACGUUGAAGACGACGACGUUGAUAGGCCGGGUGUGUAAGCGCAGCGAUGCGUUGAGCUAACCGGUACUAAUGAACCGUGAGGCUUAACCUUACAACGCCGAAG
rnacentral:rRNA from 2 species